AUUGAACGCUGGCGGCAUGCUUUACACAUGCAAGUCGAACGGUAACAGGCCGCAAGGUGCUGACGAGUGGCGAACGGGUGAGUAAUGCAUCGGAACGUGCCCAGUCGUGGGGGAUAACGCAGCGAAAGCUGCGCCAAUACCGCAUACGAUCUAUGGAUGAAAGCGGGGGACCGUAAGGCCUCGCGCGAUUGGAGCGGCCGAUGUCAGAUUAGGUAGUUGGUGGGGUAAAGGCUCACAAAGCCAACGAUCUGUAGCUGGUCUGAGAGGACGACCAGCCACACUGGGACUGAGACACGGCCCAGACUCCUACGGGAGGCAGCAGUGGGGAAUUUUGGACAAUGGGCGCAAGCCUGAUCCAGCAAUGCCGCGUGCAGGAAGAAGGCCUUCGGGUUGUAAACUGCUUUUGUACGGAACGAAACGGCUCUGGUUAAUACCUGGGGCUAAUGACGGUACCGUAAGAAUAAGCACCGGCUAACUACGUGCCAGCCGCCGCAGUAAAAC
rnacentral:rRNA from 1 species